rnacentral:rRNA from 1 species
UCAAGUUAUUAAGGGUGCAGGGCGAAUGCCUUGGCACUAGGAGCCGAUGAAGGACGUGAUAAGCUGCGAUAAGCUUCGGGGAGUUGCACGUAAACUUUGAUCCGAAGAUUUCCGAAUGAGGAAACUCACUUAGAGUAAUGUCUAAGUAUCGUAUGAUGAAUACAUAGUCAUGCGAGGGGAACCCGGAGAACUGAAACAUCUAAGUACCCGGAGGAAGAGAAAGAAAUUCGAUUCCGUAAGUAGCGGCGAGCGAACGCGGAACAGGCCAAACCAGUGAAGUUUUCUUCGCUGGGGUUGCGGACAUAUCAUAACGAAGAGGUAUCGUAGAAGAAGAGAGUUGGAAAGCUCCGCCACAGAUGGUAACAGCCCAGUAUUUUAAACGAGAAGACUUUAGAUAUGAUCCAGAGUACCACGGGACACGUGAAACCCUGUGGGAAGCAGGAGGGACCAUCCUCCAAGCCUAAAUACUACCUAGUGACCGAUAGCGUAUAGUACCGUGAGGGAAAGGUGAAAAGAACCCCGGGAGGGGAGUGAAAGAGAACCUGAAACCCUGCACUUACAAGCUGUAGGAGCACAUUAUUUGUGUGACUGCGUACUUUUUGUAGAACGGGCCAACGAGUUACGUUGUGUAGCAAGGUUAAGCACUUAAGGUGUGGAGCCGUAGCGAAAGCGAGUCUUAAAUGGGCGUCCAGUUACCCGACGUAGACCCGAAACCAGGCGACCUAUCCAUGAGCAGGUUGAAGCGAAAGUAAAAUUUCGUGGAGGACCGAACCCACGUACGUUGAAAAGUGCGGGGAUGACUUGUGGAUAGCGGUGAAAUUCCAAUCGAGCCUGGAGAUAGCUGGUUCUCCCCGAAAUAGCUUUAGGGCUAGCCUCAAGCUUAGAGAAACGGAGGUAGAGCACUGAAUGUCCUAGGGGGUAUUGCACUUACCGAAGACUAUCAAACUCCGAAUGCCGUAUUCUUUUGCUUGGGAGUCAGACUAUGGGUGAUAAGAUUCAUAGUCAAGAGGGCAACAGCCCAGAUCGUCAGCUAAGGUCCCUAAAUGUAAGUUAAGUGGUAAAGGAUGUGGAAUUGCACAGACAACCAGGAUGUUGGCUUAGAAGCAGCCACUCAUUUAAAGAGUGCGUAAUAGCUCACUGGUCGAGUGAUUCUGCGCCGAAAAUUUCCGGGGCUAAAACUUACUACCGAAGCUACGGCAUCAUUAUGAUGGGUAGGGGAGCUUUCUAUGUGGCUUGAAGCAUGACCGUAAGGACAUGUGGACUGCAUAGAAGUGAGAAUGUUGGCAUGAGUAGCGAGAUGUGGGUGAGAAUCCCACAGGCCGUAAACCCAAGGUUUCCAGGGGAAGGUUCGUCCGCCCUGGGUUAGUCAGGACCUAAGCCGAGGCCGAAAGGCGUAGGUGAUGGACAACAGGUUGAUAUUCCUGUACCACCAAUAACCGUUUGAGAAAUGGGAUGACACAGUAGGAUAAGCUAACCGCACUGUUGGUUAUGUGCGGGCAAGUAUUGAGGCAGUUCCGAUAGGCAAAUCCGUCGGAAUAAUGCUGGGGUACGAUGCGGAGCGAAAUUUAGUAGCGAAGUAGCUGAUUUCACACUGUCGAGAAAAGUCUCUAUCGAGGUUAAAGGUGCCUGUACCGCAAACCGACACAGGUGGGUGAGGAGAGUAUCCUAAGGCCAGCGAGAGAACUGUUGUUAAGGAACUCGGCAAAAUGACCCCGUAACUUAGGGAGAAGGGGUGCCUUCGAAAGAAGGCCGCAGAGAAUAGGCCCAAGCGACUGUUUACCAAAAACAUAGGUUUCUGCUAAGUCGCAAGACGAUGUAUAGGAGCUGACGCCUGCCCGGUGCUGGAAGGUUAAGGGGAUCUGUUAGAGCAAUCGAAGCAGUGAACUUAAGCCCCAGUAAACGGCGGCCGUAACUAUAACGGUCCUAAGGUAGCGAAAUUCCUUGUCGGGUAAGUUCCGACCC